GAAAGAAAACCCUAUGUGGAAUAUCCCUGGGAGCUCCAGGACCACCUGGGAGGACCUGGGGAGAAGCAGAAUUCAGAGAGAGCUGUGGCAUGGGGUUGGGCACCCCAGCACCUAGGACACCUCUGUGACAGAGCUGAUACCCAUUGAUGAUGCCGCCAAUCACACUUUGCGUCUCCCCAAUGACAAGAAUGAGAACCAGAAUAAUUCCAAGGACGUUCCAAGGACAAUGGUUCAAGGGACCGCUGCUCUCUCUAAUCCCUUGAAAACUGACUAUCUUGGAUUUUACCUCUGAACCCGCCCACUAGCCACAUGGGAAUGAGCCCGUUUUCAAGGUCCUCCAUGGAGCAACCGGCCAUCUCACCAUCCCAGGAGCCAAGAGGCAGCCCCAGCUGUGCGGGGUGAGGUAGGAGAUGCUCACUGAAGUAGGAAUGGGGCCUGCGUUCUCUCAGACGACUAUGAAGACAAGGGAGAACUGAGGAUCGCUCCAUCUGUUACACUGAGAACGGACUGCAGGGAGCCAGGGUGGAAGCAGGAGGCUGUCUGGAGGCUUCUGUAGUAACCCGGUGGAGAGAGCAUGCGACCGGGAGUCGGAACUAAAAAAGCAGUGCCUUUCAAAUCAAAACCACGAUGAGUUACCGCCUCAUACCUGUUAGAACGGCGACUGUUAACAACCAAAACCACACCCAGAAAACACCAAGUGUUGGCAAGGACGCAGAGAAAUUGGCGCCCCGGUGUCCCGCUGGUAGGAAUGCGACACCGUGGCAGUUUCUCAAAAUAUUAAAAAUAGAAUUAUCGGAUGAUCUAGUAAUUCCACUUCGGGACAUACAUCGGAAGAGUUGAAAGCAGGGUCUUGGAGAAAUAUUUGUACAUCCGUGUCCAUAGCGAAGGGGUUCAGAACACGCACCAUGAAAUACGCAUUAAGAAUUAUUUGUUGUUGUUGAUUUGAGUAAGCUCUACACCCAACGUGGGGCUUGAACUCACAACCCCAAGUUCACACGCUUGAGAGUCAUACGCUCCAUCGACUGAGCCAGCCAGGC